GUGCUUGCUUCGGCAGCACAUAUACUAAAAUUGGAACGAUACAGAGAAGAUUAGCAUGGCCCCUGCACAGGCUAAAAUGCUUGCGGUAUAGCUAUACCAACAAGAC